rnacentral:lncRNA from 1 species
CAAUCCCAAUCUGAGUCAAACUGAAUCUAAUUCAAUUAGAUUUAUUCCAAAGCUCUUUACUCAAUAAAAUUGAGUUAAUUAAUAAUUUAAUUACUAAUUAAUUCUCUAUAAAUGGUAGAGUCUCAGUCCCAGUAGGACUCUCUCAGAGAGUCCUAGUCCAAGUAGGACUCUUCACCAAAGUGACAAUCCAAUUGGACUCUUCAGCCAUC